AUUAAGCAAACCUUAAUUAUAAUAAGAAACUGUUAGUUAUGGCGAAUGCGUCAAAAUGUAAAAAAAUAUAUAUUCUAAAAAUUCCAUGAAAAAAAAAAAAAAAAACCAAAAAAAGUCAUUACAUUUAAAUACAGGUAACUCGAGUACACGAAUCGAAAAUUAUAAUGACAUAUUCGAAAUGCAUUGUACUAGAGCGAGUGAAAUACGAAAUCUAUUACGUAUUGAAAACCGAACCAUAAAUUGAUAAUGCUAUUACCGUGAUCAUGACAGGAAAACACUGCGGCAGAACCGAUCGGUUUCAUCAUCGAGGUUUAAAAUCGAUUGUUUCACAGUCGAGUGCGUUUUUUAGUUUCAAAACUCGUUAGUAUAUAUUAUUAUUUUAAAAAUAAAAAAAAAAGCACGAAUCUCUUCCUUCCCCCCUCCCCUCGCACCGUUGUCUACCGACUGACACCCGCAGAAUUCACUUAACUGAUAUGUGACACCGCGAUAUCGCGGUAAUUCAGCUAGCGAUGCGAAAUCCGCUUUUUUUUUCGUUUUCCCGAGGUUAGAACAAUUAAUUUAUAUAAGAGGAAAAGCGCAUCAACCUAACACAAUAGCAUUGUGAAUUUCGUUUUUAUGGAUUAUUUUUUUUCCUUCAAACUCACCGCCCCUCCCCCCGCGGACCACAUAUCGUAUACACUGUAUUUUGUUUGUUUUUCCUUUUAAUCGUUUUUACCUUCGUUAUAAUGUCGCUUCCCUUGAGAAACUCGCUCGUGUAUAAUAUUACAACGAACGAAUACCCACUCUAGGCCAAACGUGACAAGAAUAAACUAAUGUUUUAUUUUUGCGUUUUAAAUAUUCUCUCAUUCGUCUGAUUUCCGCAUCGGUGUGGAGAUCGGGGAUAAUUCGAAGUGUCCCGAAUUAUCAAAACCUACGACAAAACGUUUUUAAUAUACUCAUUUUAAUUUUAUAGAACGUGAUGUUUCUCUCAAGCACGUGUUGUAUCUGCCUUUAAACGAACCUUAAUACGUCCCUAGGUAAAAACGCUGUCUGUAAUUGUGCGUCGGUUUUUUUCCGGUAUUUAAAUUUUUAGACGGAAUGUAAACUUUUAAAAUUUAGAUAUUUCACAUAAUCAUGUUAUGUACAUCUCGUAUAAAUUUAACGAAAAUAUCCUUACUUUUAUAACACCCAUUGAUUCACUCUUUGUCACUCUCGUCCUCACUCACUCGACAUGUCGUGCGUUUGUAAAACAGACAUCACGUCUCCUCUUAAGACAACUAUGUAACGAAGGCAGUUACAGUAAUAAUUGCUUAUCGUUCAUAUUUUGCCUCUCGCCGAACCGCUAUAAUUCUCGCUCAAUUAUCGUUUUAAUAUUUUCGCGAGUUCGGUAUUAUAAUAAUAUGAUGUUAGGUGUACACGUACAUUUUCAUCUCGUGGCGUCAGUCGUUGAGAAAAAAUCGGAAGAUUACAACUUUACUCGCAGCCUUUUUUCGUGUAUCGGUGACGAUACCGAAGCGGCGUUUAUUCCCCCCCCUCCAAACCCCGUUUUAUACAGGCGAGUUAUAAACGGUUGGAGCGACAACAUCGACGACAGUGGGUACAAUACGGAUGUUGUACAUUAUAGUGUUUGGCGGUACACAUAAUAGAAACUACGGACCAUUAGCUGGCGACUAAAUGAAAAAAGUAAACGACUAAAUGACAAUAAAUAAACGGACCGAUAACGUGUGUACACUAUACUCGAGCUGCUCGUCGCAUAUAAUCAAUGUCCGAGGUAGUGAUCGUCUGAAAAUAAUAUAACCUCGCUUUCUAUCUUUCAUUCUGUUUUUCUCUCUUUCGGACACCGUUAAUGACGCGUGCAUGAUAGCUGUUAUCUGCUGUAUACCCACUAGACAGUUCGACAGAAGGGUUAUUUACCGCGAUCCAUCGCUUUUUUUUUUUCGUCCACUCAUCCGCAGAGUCCGCCGACACGGUUCAUAAACUUCGAGGUAGGUAGUGUAUUAUUAUUAUUAUAUAUAAAGUGCUACACAAUGUAUACGUCCCACGUGUUUAUAACCCCGAGUAAACGACGUUUCGUUUUUACACUCGUUCUUCGUUAUACCAUUAUGUAUAAUUCCUAACCUGAAACGUCCGAUCCGCAGUUUCCGCGGUCGAAACAAACAAUUACCAUGAUAUAUUAAAGUUAUCUUGACAUGGGGGAGGGAGAACACCAAUAUCGAGUGCGAGUCAUUUCGAACACACGGUGAAAUAAUAAAUAGGCGUGGUGGUAUAAACCCCGCCGGGAUUUGCCAUGGAUCCCCGGGGUUUCCGAGAACUACGGAAGUAAUAAUGAAAAACACGGCUUAUAAUAUCACAACUGCGUAAAUUGUGCGACCGUAAAAUAAACGGACGGAUAAAGAGCAAUCAAAAAUAAUUGUUGAGAAAUAUAGACACUUCUGAGUGUUCCGUGGAAGCAUUCAUGCUACGUAGCUCAAAAUUUACAAAACUGUAAUCGUUCCCAAACGAAAAUUCGUAGUGACAGUAUUACGAUCCGUGAAAUAAAUUUGGUCAUAGAUUAUUUUAUUAACGUGGUAUUGUGUUUCCGAAUUCAUUUUUAUUUUCUUAUUUUAUGUUAACACGCCCACGUACGGACGAAAACCGGACAAAUUGGUUUUCACGGCUUAGCACGUCCGUUUGUUUACAGUCACGAUCUCUGGAAAACCGUUCAUUUUGAACGAUACAAUACAAUAUAUAACACCCCAGUUCGUUUUCGACACACUCAUUUGUUUUUACGCGUGCCACUUCGUACACACGUAUAAGACCUAAUCGAGGGGUUGGAAGAGGAGAACUUUUGAAAACUGCAGCCGUGCGUUUUAUCGGGGGUUUAUUCGGAAGUCACACACGCGCGUGCGCACACGACGAUAAUACGACCGCGGUUACAACGGUUUUUAAAAAAAAAAUCCAUCGAUUUUCACGAUACACUCUAAAGUUCUCUCGUGCAUUUCGAUUUUCUGCCCGUACGAGAGUAAGCGGUAUAACGUGCAGACGUUUUUAACUUGUUUCCAACACGCUAUAUUUUAAUAAAACCAUCGGACGUGUGUCCGAACAAUUUUAUUACACAAGCCGAAUUUCUCAUGCACCAAUAAAAUAAAUUUAAAUUUGUACUACACAAAACAUACGCAUACAUAUAUAUAUAUAUAUAUAUAAACAAAUACAAUAUAUGUAAUAUAUACGCAUAUAUAUAUAUAUAUAUAUAUAUUAGUCAGAACUUAUUUUUUUAACGGCCCAAAAAUAGUUUAUAUUGUAUAUUAUUUAUAUACCUAGAUAAUAUUUCUCUUAUUUCAGAGCCUAGAACCUAUACGAUUUUACAUUAUAUUUAUUAAUUGUUGGCGUAGUUUAACGAUAACAAUAUAUUUUAAUAGAUUUCAGCGUGAUAAUGGCGUGUUUCUGCGCUCUGAAUGGUUUAGUUUAUUUUUCCCAUUGUUAAGUUUUCAAUCCACAAUCCUUACAACUCAAAUUGAUUGUUGAUAACACAACACCAUAUAACGUGCCUUCAAUAUUUACUCCCCCUCCUUAUGGGAAAGGUGCGUAGAAAGUUAGAAAACAUUCGCUCGAAACUCAAUUUUUGUAGAAAAAUAAUUUGCCGAAACAGAUUUUUUCGGAGCCGCAUUUCGUCGAAAAUACAUUACGUUUUCGAUCAAAUUCGGUUUAAAUGGAAUUCAAUUGUAAUAAAACACUUUUCGACUUAAUACGGUUCCAACCAAAUACCUUUUCGAAAAAAUACUUUGCUCACGACAAAAUAUUUUUUAACAAAUUAUAGCUCCCGAUAGUAUAACUUGACCUGUAGAACUCAAUUCAGGGAAAAAACCAUCCAAGAAGAUUAAAAAAAAAGUGUGUUCUUACCCGUUUGGAGAAUAUUAAGUGCCAAAAUCGCGUACCGUUAGGUUUUUAAACAUUUUAGGUUUUAUCUAUAAAAUUAAUAUAGUAAUAAUAUUGUAUGUAAAGUAUUUAAGGGAAAAUUAUUUUAUUAAAAUCGAAAUUUAAAAUAACUAAUACAAAUACGAAAUACUUUAUAUAAGAGAACGAUAAUUAUUAUGUUAUGAAAAAAGCAUUAAGAUAAUAAUUGUAAGUUGAUUUUAGAUAUAUUUUUUUCUUGAUUUGUUUAAUUUUUGUAUUUCUACUUGUAUGAUAAUAUUAUAUUGUAGAAUAAUUAGACUACUUUUAAGGACGAAAAGCGGUUGCCGGACCAUAUAAUUUAAUCAAAUUUAACUCUAUUUACGAAGAUAAAAGAGAGAAAAUAAUUCUUUUAAGAUUUAAUACUCUUAAUAAUAAUUAUAAUAAGACAUUAAUUUAAUGUUUAAGCCCGGUUCACACGAUGAUAUAUAGUUGCCUACUAUCUGAUAACGGUGUUGCGACUAUCAUGAUAAUGAUUAUCGCAGAAUCGAUGAAAUUGUAAAGUGAUAGUUGAAACAGUGACAUAUUCGUGAUGAAGGAUGAUAUUAGAGAUUUCCCACCCACCCCUUCACCCCCCCCCCAACACCGUCACAAGGGGCGCACAAUCCUUAUAAUAUUGGUACGAUUUAGUAAGACUACUUAGCCGUCUAAAUUGUGUUAAUGCACACAACACCUUCUCCACUAACACCAACAAAAAAAAAAAAAAACAAAAAAUUGUAAAUACACCGCUGACUAUAAUAUUAUGGUAAACACGGUAGAAAAUUCGGUAAAAGUGACGAAAAACAGUAUUUAGAAUGGAACUACGGUAUGCGUUCACAGGGUGAAUUACGAUCACUCUCACGAAAGUCACUAUCGACCGUCACGCAUUCGCGACACUGGGAUAGUUGCUUUCGCGCGAGUAACCUACUGUCACGGAUGUAGAUUUCGCAAUUACGGCGACAAGAACUGUCAUAGUGUGGACCAAGCUUCAUUUAUUGUAGUUUAUAACAAAAUAUAGUUUCAUACGGUUUAAUUAUAAUAAGUAUUGUGUUUAGAUGUUUCGCGGUGAUAUUAUAAUAUAUUGUCUAAAGUAUUUAUGUAAUAUUAUAUUCGUAUGUAUUUAGACGGGACAAAUUAUACCGAAAUAAAUCACUCGGUUAAGCACGAUUUUACUUUAGGCGGAAUACCGUGUGAACACUCGACUAACUGAGUUCUAUUAUAAUAAUAUGUAUUUUACUAAUAUCGAGUAACACCUGUAUUUUCCACGAAAAUUCGUUUAUUAAUAUUAUAAUAUAUUAUGUAAUAUUAAUAAAAUAGCUUUAGAUUAAUAUAUAUGUAUGUAUAUCAUUAGAAAAAUAGUUUAUACUUACAUUAAUAAUUUUAUUAAAAAUCGAU